UACGCAUAGCGGAAGCUGCAAGAGACAUGCGGCAACUGUGUGGGUUGAGGGAGUGAGGGGUCCCGCCUCUCUCUCUCUCAGUCGCUCUGUGACAGCUCUCGUAGCUAGACAGCGUUCUUGGAGCUCUUCCUCACGGUAAAAAAGCAGCCAUCACACUCAUUCCUUCACCAGCUGAGUCACAAUGAAUGAGCUUACUAGGUACGCCGUUCGGUCACCUCGCCUUCGAAGAGUCGCUCGUCAAUCAUCUUCAAGAUAUGGCGCUUCUGUUAGAACUCCAGCAGGAGGUACGUGCGGACGUCAGGAGGCAACGGGCAGAGGGAGGUGGCCGGCGUCCCAGGCAAGACCCACAUCCCCGACGCCAGGCAGUCAGGAACGACCAGGUGAAUUUUCCGGAGGAACGAGACGUUAGUAUACAAGGACAGAGGCAGAGUCAGUUGGGUUCGGUGGAGAUGUUACAGGAGGAGGAGGAGGAUGAUGAUGAGGCUCUGGAACGUCUCCUGGAAGCCCCAGAGGUUUCCGGGUUGAUGGAUUCCGAGGACUCUGUAGACUGGCUGGCUGACAAGUAGCUGCCUCCACAUCUAGCCUAAAGCAACAUUUGCUGGCUAGAUAGAAGCGUGUUUGUAUUGAGAUUUUAUAUAAAAUCUACCAACAUUUUUCCUCUCCUGACUAUCCCAUUCUUUCCUUCCUCUUCUCACUGCCCCCUCUUUCUUCCCUAUCCUCACUGUUCCCUCUUUCUUCUCUCUCCUCACGCCCCCUUCAUUCUUGAAACUCUUUACGGCUUUAUGUUAACCCAGGGACCAAGAGCCGUGUCCCAACAACGACCUUCAGAGGUCGCGAGGGAUCCCUUAGUUUAAUAUCUUUGAUUUAUCAUAAUAAAACAUUAUCCCAAAACUCUUCAACAAACUGGAGGAUGUAAAAGAUAUAUAUGGAUAUACCUUUCAAGUUAACAUUUUUUUAUAGUAAUCAUAUAAUACGUUUAUGUGACUAUGCAAAAGAUCCUAUAUGUAGCUUUAUGGUCUAUAUGUGAACUAAACAUAGCUACCAAGAGGCUGAGGGAGAGUGGGGUGGCCCAGUACUGGUUUGUGGGUCCCAGUUGAGAGGGUGACCCGGUACAAGCUUGUGACCCCCAGUAAUAAUGGGGUGACAGUACUGGUGAUAAUACUGGUGACCCAGUACUAGCUCCUCAGUGGCCAAUGACAGAAUCUACUGUCAUGUUUGAUGGCAAUAAAAGUACCUUAUAUAAUGGGCUGUUAAAAAGUGCCUUUGUAACAAAUAUAUUCCAAAUGUUAAGGAAUGUUUUUUUUACUUCUUACUUAGUGAAUGUUAAAUAGUACAUCCAUUUCAAUGUUAAAACUAUAAUUAUGUUUCAGACUUUAAGAAUUUAUAUAACGGCAAUUAAGUAUGAUGUACUUUUUUUAGACUUACUUUGUAUAAAGUUCAAUAUAAAAUCUGUCUUUAUUAAAGAAAGGUGAAGAUUCGUCUUUCCUGGUUUCUGACAUUUCGGGUUUUUUCUUGCAUUUGUUAAUAUAUUAUCAUAAUCAUUAGUUUUCUAAUUAUAAAUGUGUGGUUUCUAGUUCUGUUACAUUGCUAUAAACUAAUGUCAAAACUUAAUAUGAUGGUGUUAGCUUAAUAUGGCAGUAUUUAGUGUGAUAUGAAUUUUAAUUGAAUAAAAAGUGCUCAUAGA
rnacentral:misc_RNA from 1 species